GGGCGAUUAGCUCAGUUGGGAGAGCGCCAUCCUCACACGGUGGAGGUCACAGGUUCGAGCCCUGUAUCGCCCA
rnacentral:tRNA from 1 species